rnacentral:tRNA from 1 species
GGGCCCGUAGCUCAGCCUGGCUAGAGCACUUGCCUUUUAAGCAAGGGGUCGUGGGUUCAAAUCCCAUCGGGCCCG